GGCGGCGUGCCUAAUACAUGCAAGUCGAGCGGAUCUUGUCCUUCGGGANAAGGUUAGCGGCGGACGGGUGAGUAACACGUGGGUAACCUGCCCAUAAGACUGGGAUAACAUUCGGAAACGAAUGCUAAUACCGGAUACGCGAAUUGGUCGCAUGGCCGAAUCGGGAAAGGCGGAGCAAUCUGCCACUUAUGGAUGGACCCGCGGCGCAUUAGCUAGUUGGUGGGGUAACGGCUCACCAAGGCGACGAUGCGUAGCCGACCUGAGAGGGUGAUCGGCCACACUGGGACUGAGACACGGCCCAGACUCCUACGGGAGGCAGCAGUAGGGAAUCUUCCGCAAUGGACGAAAGUCUGACGGAGCAACGCCGCGUGAGUGAUGAAGGUUUUCGGAUCGUAAAGCUCUGUUGCCAGGGAAGAACGCUURCGAGAGUAACUGCUCGUAAGGUGACGGUACCUGAGAAGAAAGCCCCGGCUAACUACGUGCCAGCAGCCGCGGUAAUACGUAGGGGGCAAGCGUUGUCCGGAAUUAUUGGGCGUAAAGCGCGCGCAGGCGGCCUUGUAAGUCUGUCGUUUAAACUCGGAGCUCAACUUCGAGUCGCGAUGGAAACUGCAAAGCUUGAGUGCAGAAGAGGAAAGUGGAAUUCCACGUGUAGCGGUGAAAUGCGUAGAGAUGUGGAGGAACACCAGUGGCGAAGGCGACUUUCUGGGCUGUAACUGACGCUGA
rnacentral:rRNA from 1 species